UACAGAGGGUGCGAGCGUUAAUCGGAAUUACUGGGCGUAAAGGGCGCGUAGGCGGUUGAUUAAGUGAGUAGUGAAAUCCCUGGGCUUAACCUAGGAAUUGCGACUCAUACUGAUUGACUGGAGUACAGUAGAGGACAGUGGAAUUUCCGGUGUAGCGGUGAAAUGCGUAGAUAUCGGAAGGAACACCAGUGGCGAAGGCGACUGUCUGGACUGAUACUGACGCUGAGGCGCGAGAGCGUGGGGAGCAAACAGG
rnacentral:rRNA from 1 species